rnacentral:rRNA from 1 species
UACGUAGGGUGCGAGCGUUAAUCGGAAUUACUGGGCGUAAAGGGUGCGCAGGCAGUUAUAUAAGACAGAUGUGAAAUCCCCGGGCUCAACCUGGGAACUGCGUUUGUGACUGUAUGACUAGAGUACGGUAGAGAGGGGUGGAAUUCCUGGUGUAGCAGUGAAAUGCGUAGAUAUCAGGAGGAACAUCGAUGGCGAAGGCAGCCCCUUGGACCUGUACUGACGCUCAUGCACGAAAGCGUGGGGAGCAAACAGG